rnacentral:misc_RNA from 1 species
UCACGAACGUUGUAAAACGACGUUAUGCAUGAACGUAAUGCUCACAACUUUCCUCUAGACUUAGCUGCUGUUGAAGUUCCAUCUACAAAUGGAUAAGACUUUUGUCUUAAUGUAUAUGAAUCGUUGAAGGAGCAAUAUCAAUAUCUUGUUCGAGCAAGAAGUUUGGUAUUGCUCCCCUUUUCAAUUUUUCCCGAUAAAUGAUCAACUACAAAAGGAUUUUUUUUUAGUGAACGUGUCACAGCGGAUUACUCCUUUAUUUUUUACAUUUUUAAGAUUGGCAUUCUAUGUUCAAUAUCUCGAUCUAAUAAGGUAAGAAUAAAUUUAAAUACAAUAAUGAUGAAUGGAAAAAGAGNAAAAUCCUUUAGCUAGGGCGGAUGUAGCCAAGUGGAUCAAGGCAGUGGAUUGUGAAUCCACCAUGCGCG